GGUUCUCUGCCCUGUAUAUUAGUGUAUG
rnacentral:misc_RNA from 1 species